rnacentral:rRNA from 1 species
GAUGAACGCUAGCGGGAGGCCUAACACAUGCAAGCCGAGCGGUAGAUCUUCUUCGGAAGAUUGAGAGCGGCGCACGGGUGCGGAACACGUGUGCAACCUGCCUUUAUCUGGAAGAUAGCCCACCGAAAGGUGGAUUAAUAUUCCAUAAUAUAUUGAUUGGCAUCAGUUAAUAUUGAAAGCUCCGGCGGAUAAAGAUGGGCACGCGCAAGAUUAGAGAGGUGGUGAGGUAGCGGCUCACCAAGUAUGCGAUCUUUAGGGGGCCUGAGAGGGUGAUCCCCGAAACUGGUACUGAAACCCGGACCAGACUCCUACGGGAGGGAGCAGUGAGGAAUAUUGGACAAUGGGUUCAAGCCUGAUCCAGCCAGCCCGCGUGAAGGAUUAAGGUCCUAUGGAUUGUAAACUUCUUUUCUAAAACGAUAAACCUAUUUACGUGUAAAUAGCUGAAGGUACUGUAGGAAUAAGCACCGGCUAACUCCGUGCCAGCCGCCGCGGUAACAC